rnacentral:rRNA from 1 species
GAUGAACGCUGGCGGCGUGCUUAACACAUGCAAGUCGAACGGUGAAGGCGGAGCUUGCUCUGCUGGAUCAGUGGCGAACGGGUGAGUAACACGUGAGCAAUCUGCCCCUGACUCUGGGAUAAGCGCUGGAAACGGCGUCUAAUACUGGAUACGAGCUGCGAAGGCAUCUUCAGCAGCUGGAAAGAACUUCGGUCAGGGAUGAGCUCGCGGCCUAUCAGCUUGUUGGUGAGGUAACGGCUCACCAAGGCGUCGACGGGUAGCCGGCCUGAGAGGGUGACCGGCGACACUGGGACUGAGACACGGACCAGACUCCUACGGGAGGCAGCAGUGGGGAAUAUUGCACAAUGGGCGAAAGCCUGAUGCAGCAACGCCGCGUGAGGGACGACGGCCUUCGGGUUGUGAACCGCUUUUAGCAGGGAAGAAGCGAAAGUGACGGUACCUGCAGAAAAAGCGCCGGCUAACUACGUG